GACGAACGCUGGCGGCGUGCCUAAUACAUGCAAGUCGAGCGAGCUUGCCUAGAUGAAUUUGGUGCUUGCACCAAAUGAAACUAGAUACAAGCGAGCGGCGGACGGGUGAGUAACACGUGGGUAACCUGCCCAAGAGACUGGGAUAACACCUGGAAACAGAUGCUAAUACCGGAUAACAACACUAGACGCAUGUCUAGAGUUUAAAAGAUGGUUCUGCUAUCACUCUUGGAUGGACCUGCGGUGCAUUAGCUAGUUGGUAAGGUAACGGCUUACCAAGGCAAUGAUGCAUAGCCGAGUUGAGAGACUGAUCGGCCACAUUGGGACUGAGACACGGCCCAAACUCCUACGGGAGGCAGCAGUAGGGAAUCUUCCACAAUGGACGCAAGUCUGAUGGAGCAACGCCGCGUGAGUGAAGAAGGGUUUCGGCUCGUAAAGCUCUGUUGGUAGUGAAGAAAGAUAGAGGUAGUAACUGGCCUUUAUUUGACGGUAAUUACUUAGAAAGUCACGGCUAACUACGUGCCAGCAGCCGCGGUAAUACGUAGGUGGCAAGCGUUGUCCGGAUUUAUUGGGCGUAAAGCGAGUGCAGGCGGUUCAAUAAGUCUGAUGUGAAAGCCUUCGGCUCAACCGGAGAAUUGCAUCAGAAACUGUUGAACUUGAGUGCAGAAGAGGAGAGUGGAACUCCAUGUGUAGCGGUGGAAUGCGUAGAUAUAUGGAAGAACACCAGUGGCGAAGGCGGCU
rnacentral:rRNA from 1 species